AACAUGUGAUGUAUUACACGUACACGAGUUGUGUAUGAUGUAAGCAGAUGACUCACGGAAGUGCAAGAGAUGCGCUGAACACGAGAUGAGAGCGAUACAGAAGGGAUUAAAAAGAAUGAUGAUUGCUGAUUUAAGCGUGGAUGCUAGCCGAUUGUGAAGCUCCUUUGAAUCUGAAGCGGGUGUUUAUCAAACUGUGAAACUCGGGAUUUGGUCAGGUUUAUUGGUUGAGUUGAGAACCUCUCUCAUGGAUUUGAGAUGGCGGGCCACCAAGGGAAAAAUUGAAUG